rnacentral:rRNA from 1 species
AAUAUUGGACAAUGGGGGCAACCCUGAUCCAGCCAUGCCGCGUGUUUGAAGAAGGUCUUCGGCUUUUAAAUCACUUUAAGUUGGGAGGAAGGGCUUUAGGUUAAUACCCUGAAGUUUUGACGUUACCAACAGACUAAGCACCGGCUAACCCUUUCCCAUCAGCCGCGGUAAUACAGAGGGUGCAAGCGUUAAUCGGAAUUUCUGGGCGUAAAGCGCGCGUAGGUGGUUCAGUAAGAUGGGUGUGAAAUCCCCGGGCUUAACCUGGGAACUGCUUUCAUAACUGCUGAGCUAGAGUACGGUAGAGGGUAGUGGAAUUUCCUGCGUAGCGGUGAAAUGCGUAGAUAUAGGAAGGAACACCAGUGGCGAAGGCGACUACCUGGACUGAUACUGACACUGAGGUGCGAAAGCGUGGGGAGCAAAC